rnacentral:rRNA from 1 species
AUUGAACGCUGGCGGCAGGCUUAACACAUGCAAGUCGAGCGGUAGCACAGGGGAGCUUGCUCCCUGGGUGACGAGCGGCGGACGGGUGAGUAAUGUCUGGGAAACUGCCUGAUGGAGGGGGAUAACUACUGGAAACGGUAGCUAAUACCGCAUAACGUCGCAAGACCAAAGAGGGGGACCUUCGGGCCUCUUGCCAUCAGAUGUGCCCAGAUGGGAUUAGCUAGUAGGUGGGGUAAUGGCUCACCUAGGCGACGAUCCCUAGCUGGUCUGAGAGGAUGACCAGCCACACUGGAACUGAGACACGGUCCAGACUCCUACAGGAGGCAGCAGUGGGGAAUAUUGCACAAUGGGCGCAAGCCUGAUGCAGCCAUGCCGCGUGUGUGAAGAAGGCCUUCGGGUUGUAAAGCACUUUCAGCGAGGAGGAAGGUGGUGAGCUUAAUACGUUCAUCAAUUGACGUUACUCGCAGAAGAAGCACCGGCUAACUCCGUG